rnacentral:rRNA from 1 species
GAUGAACGCUGGCGGCGUGCCUAAUACAUGCAAGUCGAGCGAACAGACGAGGAGCUUGCUCCUCUGACGUUAGCGGCGGACGGGUGAGUAACACGUGGAUAACCUACCUAUAAGACUGGGAUAACUUCGGGAAACCGGAGCUAAUACCGGAUAAUAUAUUGAACCGCAUGGUUCAAUAGUGAAAGACGGUUUUGCUGUCUCUUAUAGAUGGAUCCGCGCCGCAUUAGCUAGUUGGUAAGGUAACGGCUUACCAAGGCGACGAUGCGUAGCCGACCUGAGAGGGUGAUCGGCCACACUGGAACUGAGACACGGUCCAGACUCCUACGGGAGGCAGCAGUAGGGAAUCUUCCGCAAUGGGCGAAAGCCUGACGGAGCAACGCCGCGUGAGUGAUGAAGGCCUUCGGAUCGUAAAACCCUGUUAUUAGGGAAGAACAAAUGUGGAAGUAACUAUGCCCGUCUUGACGGUACCUAAUCAGAAAGCCACGGCUAACUACGUG